UACGGAGGGUGCGAGCGUUGUCCGGAAUCAUUGGGCGUAAAGGGCGCGUAGGUGGCCACUUCAAGCGUGCGGUGAAAGUCGGGGGCUCAACCCCUGAUCGGCCGUGCGAACUGGGGGGCUGGAGCACUGUAGAGGCAGGCGGAAUUCCGGGUGUAGCGGUGGAAUGCGUAGAGAUCCGGAAGAACACCAGUGGCGAAGGCGGCCCGCUGGGCAGUGGCUGACGCUGAGGCGCGACAGCGUGGGGAGCAAACAGG
rnacentral:rRNA from 1 species